rnacentral:rRNA from 1 species
AGAGAGAGACAUGCGCGCAUAUCAAUAAGCGGAGGAAAAGAAACUGACAAGGAUUCCCUUAGUAACGGCGAGUGAAGCGGGAAGAGCUCAAAUUUGAAAUCUUCAAGGUUCUACCUUGACGAAUUGUAGUUUAUAGAAGUGUUUUCUGUUAGUGGAGUGGCAAAAGUUCUUUGGAAUAGGACAUCAUAGAGGGUGAGAAUCCCGUAUUUGGUCAUUCCUCCUAGCGUUGUGAUACACUUUCAACGAGUCGGAUCGUUUGGGAAUGCAGUCCAAAAUGGGUGGUAAAUUUCAUCUAAAGCUAAAUAUUGGCGAGAGACCGAUAGCGAACAAGUACCGUGAGGGAAAGAUGAAAAGAACUUUGAAAAGAGAGUUAAACAGUACGUGAAAUUGUCAAAAGGGAAGCGUUUGACACCAGUGUUGUUUUUCCGAAAAUCAAUUACGAAUGUUUUGUUUUUAAGGAGUUAUGACUUCAUCAGGCUUGCUUCUUUCUUUACGAAACUUUCUUAAUGCACUUUUCGGUUAACAAGUCAACAUCAAUUUCUUUUGUUGUAAAAGGGUAUGAGGAAGGUGGCUUUCUCUUCGGCGCAAGUGUUUAUAGCCUUGUAGCCUCUGCAAUCGGAGAGAUUGAGGUCUGCAGCGUAGAUCCUUCGGGGUUAGAUACAUUUGUGCUAAGUUAUAGCUUUUCAUAGACAACUUGUUGACUAUGUUUAGUCUUGUAGCUUACUCGCUUAUGCUAUUUUACCUACGCUUAGGAUGUUGAUCUGUAGUGCGUGCGC